rnacentral:rRNA from 1 species
GACGAACGCUGGCGGCGUGGAUUAGGCAUGCAAGUCGAACGGUAUCAUCCUUUCGGGGGUGAGAGAGUGGCGAACUGGUGAGUAACACGUAGGUUAUCUACCCUCAAGACGGGGACAACCCAGGGAAACUUGGGCUAAUACCGGAUGUGAGCAACUUUUAGUUGUUUGAAAGGUGGCGUAAGCUGUCGCUUGGGGAUGAGCCUGCGUCCUAUUAGUUAGUUGGUGAGGUAACGGCUCACCUAGGCAAUGAUAGGUAGGCGGCCUUAACGGGUGGUCGCCCACACUGGGAUUGAGAUACGGCCCAGACUCCUACGGGAGGCAGCAGUCGAGAAUAGUCUACAAUGGUCGGAAGACUGAUAGUGCGACGCCGCGUGAACGAUGAAUCCCUUCGGGUGUAAAGUUCUUUUAUAUGUGAGCAGUGCUUCUUAUAUUAACAGUAUGGGGAGAGAGAUAUUAGACAUAUGAAAUAAGCAAACGGCUAAACUCCGUGCCAGCAGCCGCGGU